rnacentral:rRNA from 1 species
CGGACGGGUGAGUAACGCGUGAGAAUCUGCCUCCAGGUCGGGGACAACACGCGGGAAACUGCUGCUAAUCCCGGAUAAGCCCUAGGGUAAAAGAUUUAUUGCCUGGAGAGGAGCUCGCGUCCGAUUAGCUAGAUGGUGAGGUAAGAGCUCACCAUGGCGACGAUCGGUAGCUGUUCUGAGAGGAAGAUCAGCCACACUGGGACUGAGACACGGCCCAGACUCCUACGGGAGGCAGCAGUGGGGAAUUUUCCGCAAUGGGCGAAAGCCUGACGGAGCAGGACCGCGUGCGGGAAGAAGGCCCUUGGGUCGUAAACCGCUUUUCUUAGGGAAGAAGCUCUGACGGUACCUAAGGAAUCAGCCUCGGCUAACUCCGUGCCAGCAGCCGCGGUAAUACGGAGGAGGCAAGCGUUAUCCGGAAUUAUUGGGCGUAAAGCGUCCGCAGGCGGCUUAUCAAGUCUGCUGUCAAAGACUGGGGCUCAACCCUGGGGAGGCAGUGGAAACUGAGAAGCUAGAGUGCAGUAGGGGUAGAGGGAAUUCCCAGUGUAGCGGUGAAAUGCGUAGAGAUUGGGAAGAACACCGGUGGCGAAAGCGCUCUACUGGGCUGUAACUGACGCUGAGGGACGAAAGCUAGGGGAGCGAAAGGGAUUAGAUGCCCCUGUAGU